rnacentral:lncRNA from 1 species
CCCCAGGCUGCUGCCCCGAUGCGCUGCGCCGGGAGCCGUGGCCGAGUCGCCGCCGCAGCUGCAGGGGCGCCCGGGCCGGGUGACGCCGCUGCCGCCGCGCGCGCCCCUCCCAGAACUUGCAGGCCGCAUGGAGCCCCGGGAGGGCGCCAGCCAGGGAGGCACAGUGAAGGAGGUGGAGGUGCCACAGGCUGCCCUGGGCACCCCAGCUCCUGGGACGGGGACCAGUGGCCACUCGCCUGUGGUCGAGGAGGAGGGGGGCACCCCCGCGCCGGCACCAGGGCUCCUGCAGGUCACGGAGAGGCGGCAGCCCCUGAGCAGUGUCUCCUCCCUGGAGGUGCACUUCGACCUCCUGGACCUCACCGAGCUCACCGACAUGUCCGACCAGGAGCUGGCCGAGGUCUUCGCCGACUCUGACGACGAGAACCUGACCAGCGACUCGCCCACAGGCCUCCACCCGCUGCCCAGGGCCGGCUGUCUGCGCUCCCCUUCUUGGACACGCACCAGGGCAGAGCAGAAGCGGGAGAAGCAGCCUCUGGGCGACCCGGAGCGGCAGCCUGCCGUUGCAGACACGUUUCUGACCGUGGAGAGGCCCAAAGAGGACUAGGCCAGCUGGCCGCAGGGCCGAGGCCCCUGGACACUGCCCACCCCGUGUGGAUCCAGGCUGGGGCCUCAGGGCACCUCAGCAGCAGCUUGGCCCCGUGGCCUUACGUCCAGCCCCUUCCUGGUCCCUGGAUCAGGGACAAUGUUGGGGGAUGAGACGAGAGUGGCCUGGGUCUUCUGGAAACUUCUGUCUGCAGGACUGGUUUUCUUGUCAGCCACCAGACUUCCGGGUGGGUGUGGGGAGAGCAGAGGCACAGAGGGGAGAGGUACCUGGCGCCCUCUCCAGGGUCUCGGGGUUCCAGACUGUGAAGGGCCAUGCCGAGCUCCAGCCACAGAUGAGGGCAGGGCACUCAGUCUGGAAGCUCACCACCGUGACUCCAGCCCUGCCCCCUUCCUGCCGCCCAGGGCAGACCCCCAGCCCUGGUCCCUGUGUGACAGGGACCCUCCCCAGCCCAGGACACCAACCACACCCUGAUACUCAGGCUGCUGGGCAGGGGAGCAGCAGGCAGGGCUCAUCCUCUCCGCCCCUGCCUGACAGUCCCCGUGGCCGCCACACACACACACACGCGCGGGCGCGCGCGCACAUGGGUCUGCGUCCUGGCCAGCGUUCCAGCUGCCGUGCAAGAGCCCGAGGGGCACCCAGUGCUGCGUACCUGCCAGGGAACAGAACAGGCUCCUGUCGGACAGCAGGUCCAAGAACAGUUUUAAACGAAAGGUGUCCGCUUGCUUUUUGUCCCCAAGGCCACCAGCCCUGAUCCCUUACCCACAAAAACGUUUCUGCAGAAGUGGCUCCUCUGCUGGAGCCUAUGGAGCCCUGGGCACGUGGGGGCCUCUGUGAGCUCCACCAGCCCUGCCAGGAUGGGACCUGGACCGGAUGCCUCUUCUCCACAUGUGAGGGCAACACGGGUUCUUCCCUGCAAACUGACCCGGCAAGGGCAGCACACGUCCCCCCCAACCCAAUUCCUCUCCUUGCUGCAGCUUCUGCAUAACUCACUUCCAAAAAGCAGGAUUAAAACGUCACCCAUCCCAA